UGCCAGCCGCCGCGGUAAUACGGAGUGUGCAAGCGUUACUCGGAAUCACUGGGCAUAAAGAGCACGUAGGCGGGCAGCAUAGUCGGCCGUGAAAGCCCCCGGCUCAACCGGGGAACUGCGACCGAAACUGGCUGUCUUGAGGACGAGAGGGGAGAGCGGAACUUCUGGUGGAGCGGUGAAAUGCGUAGAUAUCAGAAGGAACACCGGUGGUGAAAACGGCUCUCUGGCUCGUAUCUGACGCUGAGGUGCGAAAGCUUGGGUAGCGAACGGGAUUAGAUA
rnacentral:rRNA from 1 species